GACGUAGGGCGCGAGCGUUGUCCGGAUUUAUUGGGCGUAAAGAGCUCGUAGGCGGCUUGUCGCGUCGACUGUGAAAACCCGUGGCUCAACCAUGUGGUCUGCAGUCGAUACGGGCAGGCUAGAAUUCGGUAGGGGAGACUGGAAUUCCUGGUGUAGCGGUGAAAUGCGCAAAUAUCAGGAGGAACACCGGUGGCGAAGGCGGGUCUCUGGGCCGAUAUUGACGCUGAGGAGCGAAAGCGUGGGGAGCGAACAGG
rnacentral:rRNA from 1 species